CCUACGGGAGGCAGCAGUGAGGAAUAUUGGUCAAUGGACGCGAGCCUGAACCAGCCAAGUCGCGUGAAGGAUGACGGCCCUACGGGUUGUAAACUUCUUUUAUAAAAGAAUAAAGUGCGACACGUGUGCCUUUUUGUAUGUACUUUAUGAAUAAGGAUCGGCUAACUCCGUGCCAGCAGCCGCGGUAAUACGGAGGAUCCGAGCGUUAUCCGGAUUUAUUGGGUUUAAAGGGAGCGUAGAUGGGUUGUUAAGUCAGUUGUGAAAGUUUGCGGCUCAACCGUAAAAUUGCAAUUGAUACUGGCAGGCUUGAGUACAGUUGAGGUAGGCGGAAUUCGUGGUGUAGCGGUGAAAUGCUUAGAUAUCACGAAGAACUCCGAUUGCGAAGGCAGCUUACUAAACUGCAACUGACAUUGAUGCUCGAAAGUGUGGGUAUCAAACAGGAUUAGAUACCCGAGUAGUC
rnacentral:rRNA from 1 species